GAGUGCCUUAUACAUGCAAGUCGAGCGAGGCUUCGAGCCGAGCGGCGAACGGGUGAGUAACGCGUGAGUAACCUGCCCUUUUAGUUGGGGAUAACUAUUCUAACGGAUAGCUAAUACCGAAUAUAGACGAUUGUUUAAUACAGUCGAUCAAAAGACAGCAAUGUCGCUGAAGGAUGGACUCGCGUAUGAUUAGCUAGUUGGCGGGGUAACGGCCCACCAAGGCGACGAUCAUUAGCCGGCCUGAGAGGGUGAUCGGCCACAUUGGGACUGAGAUACGGCCCAGACACCUACGGGAGGCAGCAGUAGGGAAUAUUGCGCAAUGGACGAAAGUCUGACGCAGCAACUCCACGUGUGGGAUGACGCAUUUCGGUGUGUAAACCACUGUCGGAUGGGAAUAACGGCGCGAUGUUGAAUCGCGUAUGAAUGUACCAUCAAAGGAAGCAUCGGCUAACUUCGUGCCAGCAGCCGCGGUAAUACGAGGGAUGCAAGCGUUGUUCGGAAUCACUGGGCGUAAGGAGAGCGUAGGCGGGAAAAUAAGUUUGGUGUUUAAAGCAAGGGCUAACCCUUGUGUGGCACUGAAUACUGUUUUUCUUGAGUAGGUUAGGGGUUAUCGGAAUUUCUGGUGUAGCGGUGGAAUGCGUAGAUAUCAGAAAGAACACCAAUGGCGAAGGCAGAUAACUGGGACCAUACUGACGCUGAGGCUCGAAAGUGCGGGGAGCAAACAGGAUUAGAUACCCUGGUAGUCCGCACCGUAAACUAUGUUCACUAGACGUUUGUCCAGCAAUGGAUGGGUGUCGCAGCUAACGCAUUAAGUGAACCGCCUGGGGAGUACGCCCGCAAGGGUGAAACUCAAAGGAAUUGACGGGGGCCCGCACAAGCGGUGGAUUAUGUGGUUUAAUUCGAAGCAACGCGAAGAACCUUACCAGGCCUUGACAUGGCGUCGCCGCAUUUAGAGAUAGAUGUUUCCUUCGGGACGGCGCACACAGGUGCUGCAUGGCUGUCGUCAGCUCGUGUCGUGAGAUGUUGGGUUAAGUCCCGCAACGAGCGCAACCCCCGUUCUUAGUUGUCAUCAUUAAGUUGGACCCUCUAAGGAGACUGCCGCGGACAACGCGGAGGAAGGUGGGGAUGACGUCAAGUCAUCGUGGCCCUUACGGCCUGGGCUACACACGUAAUACAGUGGGCGGUACAAUGGGUUGCCAAGUCGUGAGACGGAGCUAAUCCCCAAAGCCGCCCUCAGUUCGGAUUGUAGUCCGCAACUCGACUACAUGAAGCCGGAAUCGCUAGUAAUCGCGGAUCAGCAUGCCGCGGUGAAUACGUUCCCGGGCCUUGUACACACCGCCCGUCAAGCCACGGAAGAUGGGAGCGCUCUAAGUCGUGCGUCCAACCCGCAAGGGAGACAGCGCCUAAAGCGAGACUGUUAACUGGGGCUAAGUCGUAACAAGGUA
rnacentral:rRNA from 1 species